rnacentral:lncRNA from 11 species
GUUAGUGAAGCCUGGACUGCACUGAAGAAGUCAGUACAGUAUUACAUGAGUCCUGAAUUGUUUCCAUUUGAUACCAACACAGCCAAGAAGCACAUUAGCUCUUACAUGGAUAUGUUACACCAAUCUGAAGCAGGACUUAAGCGGCAGAGAAGACAUGUGAUAUCGCCUGAGCCAUUGGAAAUUCAACCUUGUCCAUUCUGGCCAAAGCGCUGAUGUUUAUCAAAUAAACUGUCUUCGAAAGUUUUCUGCUCCAACUGAACGGCCUUUAUCUUUAUUUACAUUUUAACUACAGUUUACAAUUGAAUCGAACUUACUCAUUCCAUAGGAUCAUCAAGAGAGGAUCUGUGCAUGCUCUUCGAAUUCCUGUUGUUUAAACUAGUUCAUGGCUGGCAGCAUGGGUUUUUAACCUAACUUUUUUUGGUGUAUAAUCCUAUAUUCUGUAUUUUAAGAAUGUCCAACUGCAGGCCCAUGAACUUUCCUAUGCUAAAGUGGAGGACCGGAAGGUGAUUCUAGUUUCAUUGCCUCCCCUAAAACCUCAAACUGUUCUGAUUUGGUACUAACUAAUCAACUGUCUUCCCACUAUUUCAGCUGUUAUUAAAAUGCCCCUGUUUCUUUUUUCUUCCCACUGUCCUCAGCUUCCUUUAAUUGCUGAAAGGGUAAAAGUAGCUUGUAUUCUGUUAACUCAGCAAGGGGAGAGAAAUGGGGAGAAUGUUGCCUUUCCCAGUGGCUGAUGCAAAACCAAACUUCUGCAGCCUCUCCUACUUUGUGUCAUUCAUCAUUUAUAAAUGUUGCCAUCAUCUAGGAGAAUGGAGGUUGAACAAAAUAUAUUUUUCACUUUCGUAACUUCAUUUUGAACAUUUGACUUUAACUUGCUGUUUGCUCAUUAGGAUGGAUCAGUCAAUGGGCAUGUUAGCUCAUGAAUUUAUUUGGCAAAAUGAUGUUGAAGAAACAUUGUUAAAUUACUAUUCUCUUUCAUAUUUGGUAAUUGUGUUGCAUAAUGCAUAUUGUAUGUGUCAGAGUUUACAAACUUUACUUUUCUGAACUACAAUUUCCAGAAUCUCCCGCCCUGCAUAGCUAAUUAAACCUAUGGUCUGAAAAAGGUACAUUUUCCAAGCUGCUGUGCAUUGUUUUUACAGCAAAAUAGUAGGCACAAUAUGAAACAACUUCUCCUCAGUUUUGAUGAAUAAUUCAUUUCUGAUCCUUUCUGUUUGACUAUUUUUUUCAAAGAUGUGUGCCCUUCCUCUCUCCCUUCCCCCCUUCUCUGAUCUCUUUUUCUACGAAUUAUUUUAUUAAUUAUUUUAUCACAGGCUGGUACUGUCAACCAUUAUUUGCUUUUACAGUUAUUCAAAUCUGAUUUUACAACAUUUUAGUUAUGAAAAAUGGUUACAAGCUUAAUCCAAUUUAUGUUUUCUAUUAUACCCCAAGAUAAAUCCAAAAUAUAUUUCAAAUAUCUGGCACUCUAUCUCCCUCUAUGAACCAUCUCAGAGGUUAAGAUCAUAGAAUCAUAGAAUAGUAGAGUUGGAAGAGACCUCAUGGGCCAUCCAGUCCAACCCCCUGCCAAGAAGCAGGAAAUCGCAUUCAAAGCACCCCCGACAGAUGGCCAUCCAGUCUCUGUUUAAAAGCCUCCAAAGAAGGAGCCUCCACCACAGCCCGGGGAAGAGAGUUCCACUGCCGAACAGCCCUCACAGUCAGGAAGUUCUUCCUGAUGUUCAGGUGGAAUCUCCUUUCCUGUAGUUUGAAGCCAUUGUUCUGCGUCCUAGUCUGGAGGGCAGCAGAAAACAAGCUUGCUCCCUCCUCCCUAUGACUUCCCCUCACGUAUUUGUACAUGGCUAUCAUGUCUCCUCUUAGCCUUCCCUUCUGCAGGCUAAACAUGCCCAGUUCUUUAAGCCGCUCCUCAUAGGGCUUGUUCUCAC